GCUGAUGAGAGACAGGAGCGAUGGAUGGUCUGAGUUAGCGGGGUCCCGGCACCACCCAGCGCAAAGGCACUGCACUCACGCACGCCAUGCACAUGCUGGCUCACCUCCUCCAUCCCAUGCCUCCCCUGUCUCCAGCAUUCCCUCUGGAAUACAUCAGCACUGUUGCCUUUGAGGCUGGCCUGCUUGAAUGCACACCUGAGCUCCGGAUUCACAGUGGAGGAAGCCAGAUGCCAUGUCAUGAGGCUGCCAUGUCAUGAGGGUGCUCAAGCAGCUUUCUGGAGAUGUAUGUAUGGAGAGAAACUGAGGCCUCCUGCCAACAGCCAGCACUAACUUGCCAAGCAUGUUUGUGAGCCACCUGGGAAGUGGAGCCUUCAGCCCCAGUUAAGCCUUCAGAUGAGACUGCAGUCCUGGCCACCAUCUGGACUGCAACUUCACAAGAGCUCCUAAGCCAGAGCCAUGCAGAUGGAUUCUUGGCCCCCAGAAAUUGUGCCACUACAUUUUGGGAAAUUUAUUAUGCAGCCAUAGAUUACCAAUACACUCACUAUUUCUUUUUUCUGAUGCCAUACUA
rnacentral:lncRNA from 1 species